rnacentral:rRNA from 1 species
UACGAAGGGGGCGAGCGUUGUUCGGAUUUACUGGGCGUAAAGGGCGCGUAGGCGGCGCAACAAGUCACUUGUGAAAUCUCCGGGCUUAACUCGGAACGGUCAAGUGAUACUGUCGUGCUAGAGUACAGAAGGGGCAACUGGAAUUCUCGGUGUAGCGGUGAAAUGCGUAGAUAUCGAGAGGAACACCUGCGGCGAAGGCGGGUUGCUGGGCUGAUACUGACGCUGAGGCGCGAAAGCCAGGGGAGCGAACGGG